GAGCCUCGGUGGUCCGGGGGGUGGACUUCAGUUCCACAGCCGUUUCGCGACGGAGCGGUUCGAUUCCGUC
rnacentral:tRNA from 12 species